GUGGUCCAAGCAUAAGAAAUAAUAGAUGGGAGCUAUGUAGAGGACAAAUAUUGAUAAAUAAAGGAAAAUAGAGCAAAUGAAUUGUACCACUGAACGACCAAAGUAGGAUGUUUUAGUCACUGAAUGUAUAAAUAAAUAAUGCCACUUAAAAUAAUUGUCUUCAAAAUAAAGCUUACAUGACAUUUCAUGUUCCAACCUUAGAUGAAAGAACUCUUAUAAAAUCUGAUAUAAGCAUUCACUUGUAGCUCUUUACAAUUGAUAAUUUCCUUUUGUACGCAAAGAACAUCAAGCGUUAUUUCAAACAAAAAUAAUUUAUCAUUUCCAAAACAAAAGGGAACAUGUAUUUCCACAAAAAAGGCAAUAUGUAAGAAAUUAUUGAUAUUGUUUGCAUGUACCAUUUAGACCCCCAACUGAAAUGAAUGAUGCAGAGAAAUAGUUACUAAAUCCAAUGUGGAGAUCUGCAAAACAGCAAAUGGUGAUGCCAUAAUAUUUAAUUAAAAUGUUCUGUAAAACACUGUCGUAGACCAGGUUUCCAUUUUCAGUACAUAGUCGUCACUGCAAGCAUAUCCAGAAAGAACAAAUUGCAAAAAAUUUGAGUCCAAAACUUCAGGAACUGUAGCAACAUGAGAAGCUAGAAAAGCUCUAGUACUACAGGUUAUAUGCACAAUGAAAUGUAAAGAAAACAAAUACUAACCUUCAUGUUGGCAGACACUGUGAAGUGCAUUGAUAUAAGGAAAAGGACGGACUGAAAACCCAGAAUUAAUUUAGAGGGGUCAGCAACAUGCACAUGUGGAAUAUGAAGAAGUAAUAUUGGAUGGAAGUAGCUAUUUUAGCAGUUAGGGAAAAUACCUAGUACUUAUCCAAACACAUUGGUAUUUCGUUCUUUAUUACUCACCUACAUGACUGAGAAUCACCACACAUGAAAAUAAAAAUAACUGGUAAAAACAUGAAAAUAAAAAUGAUGUACCAUUUUAUAACAUACUGUCUUUGGAGUUCCACAAAUCGACCAUACUGAAUGGAAGCAAAGCAUGGUCAGGAAAGCAACCUGAGGGAUAAUUGGUCGUAAAAGCAGAGCAUGAUAGUGAAGAAUGGUUGUAGUGGCUGCACUCACUAUAGCCUGGAGGGGCCGAUGCAAAUCAUUUCCCAAAUUGAGGCACCGGUGACAUUUAAAACAUGAUAAAAGUCUGUAAUACUGGUCGUAACAGCGGAGCAUGAUAGUGAAGAAUUGUUGUAGAGGAUGCACUCAGUAUAACCGGAGGGGUCGGUGCAUAACAGGAGAUUGAAAGCAUUUCCCAAAUUGAGGCGCUGGUGACAUUUAAAAGAUGAUAAACUAGUAAUACUCAUCAGACAUAAUUGAAGAUCCUGAUUUACACCAAAAAAUUCAAGCUGAUGUAUAUACAGAACAUAAACAGCUACAUGGAAGCCACCGCACACAAAUAGACUAAGAGAGAGAGAGAGAGAGAGAGAGAGAGAGAGAGAGAGGGACGGAGGGAGAGAGAGAGAGAGUCCGUCCCAGCAGGCAGUAGCGAUUAAGCUCUUGAGCGGGUCUGGAACCCAUUAGGUGCGGCGGCAGAUGGGGACUGUUGUGUAGCGGCCGUGAUCCGGCCGGGCGGAGGACGGCUAGAACAACCUUCUCGGCGGGGCUGCUGCUUGGAUCUUGAACGACGGCAGACAGCAAGCAUGAUAUUGCUUCGAUCCUACACGGUGAGGAUGUACUCCAUGGUUGGGUGGGCUACGGAAACAGGGGAGCAUCGUGUUGAAGAAGAUCAAGUGGAGGGGCGAGAGAAUGGGAAGAGACAGGGAUGCGGAUAGCGAUUAGCGGGGGAGAGCGAGGUCGUUCGUCUUCUAAUAGAUAAU
rnacentral:rRNA from 1 species